CCCAGCUCCUAACAGCAUAUUCAGGCGUGAAUUCAUCCACCUGUGACGUUUCACUCAACAUAGCCUUUUUGGGGGGUCUUAUUGGUGAUUUUUAUAGGUACAAUGCGCUUGAAGACUUGUUAAGACCUCCGGGAUACAGUUCUCCCAUUGACGUGUGCGCCGUGGGGAGCGUACUGGUGGAACUGUAUCAUUAAGACCGCUUUUCCCAGGAACAGCAUUGAGGUUCCGAAUCCCGGAAGGAGCCGUGCUUGCUCUAAAGCUUACCUCUGCCCUUACUUCCGUUCACAUCCGGGCUCAUUGCCUGCCCAGGUCACCCUCCUCUCCACCUCCUGUCAGCCGCCUGUCGAGAAGCAGUGGUAUCUCGUGC
rnacentral:lncRNA from 1 species